GCCCCCCCCCCGCCGAUAACUCCUCAACCGCGGGGGCCGGAACAACGUGGGCGCGCCCCCCCCACCGCCGCGGGGCCGGCUUUUGGCGGGGACGCCGUCAUCGGUGACGUCAUCGGUGACGUCAUCGGUGACGUCGUCGUCGGGGGAGGCCAAGCCCAGGGCCCCCCCCGCCACCGCCAUGGCCGCCGCCGCCUCCUCCUUGCGCUUCUGCUCCACGUCGCGGAUGAUGUCGACCACGUCGUCGGCCGGCAGGUGGAGGCGGCUGGAGAGCUCGAUCAGUUGGUCGAUGGUGCCCGGGUCCAACGGCGCGUCCGGCGCCGCCUCCUCAUCCUCAUCAUCCUCAUCUUCGUCUUCACCCCCCGGCCGCACCGCCUCCGCCAGCUCCUGGGCCAGCGGGGGGACGGCGGCGCGGUUGGGGGCAUCUUCGCGGUUGGGCGCGUUGGCGCGGUUGAAGACGUCGCCGCGGUUGGGGAUGUCGUCACGCAUGGAGAUGACAUCGCCGUGCAUCGGCAUCCCGCCACGCACGGUGUCGCCACGCAUGGGGACACCGCCGCGCGUCGGCAUCCAGCCACGCCCGGGGACGUCGCCGCGCACGGAGAUCUCGUUGGCCAUGGGGAUCUCAUUGGUCAUGGGGAUCUCAUUGGUCAUGGGGAUCUCGUUGUUCAUGGGGACCUCGUUGGCCAUGGGGACCUCGUUGGCCAUGGGGAUAUCAUUGUCCAUCGGGAUCUCAUUGUCCAUGGGGAUCUCAUUGUCCAUGAGGAACCCGUUGCCUAUGGGGAUCUCCUUGCCCAUGGGGAUCUCCUUGCCCAUGGGGAUCUCCCCACCCAUCGCCAUCUUCUUGCCCACGGGGCUCAUCUUGCCCAUGGGGACCUCGCCCAUCGGGAUCUUCUUGCCCAUGGAGAACCCUUUACCCAUCGGCGUCAUCUUCCCCACGGGGACCGCCUUGCCCAUCGGCAUCGCCUUGCCCACGGCGCUCGCCCUCCCCACUCCCCUCCCCGCUUCUCCCCCGACCUCUCCCACCUCCCCCCUUUCUUCUUCCUCCUCCUCCUCCUCCUCCUCCUCCUCCUCCUCCGACCUCUUGUCCUGGGCGGCCGCGGCGGGCCCGUGGAGGAGGUAGCGCAGCAGGAGGUCGGAGGCCAGGUCGGCCAAGCGCUCCUCCUCGGCGGCGGCCUUGCGGGCGGCCUGGGCCUGCCGCCGGCUCUCGGCCAGCUCCUGGUAGCGCCGCUCCAGCAGCCGCUGCUCCAGGCUCUGCUGCUGCCGCAGCUGCCGGGCGCUGGCCCAGCUUCGGCCUCCUCCUCCUCCUCCUCCUCGCUCCCGGUCCCGCUUGGCCUCCGCUCGCAGCCUCCCCAGCUCCUCCAGCUCCUUCAGGACUUCGUCCGGCGGCGAGGAAGAGGAGGAGGAAGAGGAGGAGGAGGAGGAAGGGAUUUGGGGAGGGGGGAAAAAGGGGCCGGGGAGGCGAGGGGAGGGGUGGGGGCGGCUUUGGGCCAGGAGGGUGAUGGAGAGGAGGAGGGCGGCGCUGCGCAACGGGCGGGCGGGGGGGGGCAUGGUGCCUGGGGGGGCAAAAAAAUAGAGGGGGGGGUGUCAGGGGGCACGGGACCCCCUCCCCGCUCCCUUAAUUCCCCUCCCCUCUCCCUUAAUUCCUCCUCCCCCCCUUCAUCCCCCUCCUCUCUCCCUGUGCUGGGGCCAGGGGUCACAGGACACCCCCCCCAUGUGUUAUGGACCCCCCCAUGUGUUAGGGACCCCUCCCCCAAAAUGGGUUUUCCAAAGUGUCCCCCAUGUCCCCAAAGUGCCCCCCCACAAAACUCCCCCCCAACCCCCCCCAAUGGAUCCCCAAGUACCAGGAGCCCCCCCCCCCCAUUGGGGUACCCCAAGUGUCCCCAAGGUGUUUCCCCCCCCCAGCUGCCUCCCUCAAAUUGCCCCCUCCGAAUUCCCCCCCCCCAAAGGUACCCAGCAGGGUCCCCGCGCUCCCCCCGCACAUGCUGGCACCCAUGGGUGCCCCCCCACCCCCUGUGCCAGGACCCUCCCCCGCGUCUCACACGCAGCACACGCAGCACACACAAUGCUCAGCAUGUACAACAUGCUACACGUACAGCAGCACAUGCAAUGUACAUACAAUGUACAUGCGUUCUACAUACAACGCACAUGCAAUGCACACAGCACAUGCAAUGUACAUACAAUGCAUGCAGCACGUGCAAUCACAUGCAAUGUACAUGCAAUGCACGCACGAUGCACGCAGCACAUACAAUGCAGCACUCACAACAUGCAAGCACAUACAACAUGUAAAGGACAUGCAUGUACAGCACAUACAUGGACACGCAUGGCACAUACGUGGACACAGCACAUACAUGGACACACACAGCACAUAUAUGGACACACACAGCACAUACAUGGACACACACAGCACAUACGUGACUACAGCACACCACUUAUAACGCACAGCACACACAUGCAAUGCACACACGAUGCGCAGCACAUGCUUACACACACACAGGACAUACAUGUACAUACACUGCGCAUCCAUAAACACACCCAGCACAUACAUGGACGUGCUCUUCAUGCAUGUACACUCAAGGCACAUCCAUGUACAUGCAAUAUCCAUGCAUACAAACACAUGUACACACACAGCACAUACAUGUACACACACUACAUGCAUGUACGCACCCAGCACAUCCAUUUACACACCCAGCACAUACAUGUACACGCACUACACAUACAUGUACAUGCAUAUACACACACAGCACAUGCAUUUCCAUGCACUGCAUGCCUCUACAUGCACUGCACAUACAUGUAACUGCAAUGUACACACAUAGACAUGAAUGUACAUGCAUGUACACGCACAGCACACACAUGUACACUCGCAGCACAUACAUGUACAUGCAGAACAUGCAUAUACACGCACCACACACACCUGUAACUGCACUGCACAUACAUGUACAUGCGCUGCACAUACAUGCACAUGCAAUACAUGCAUCUACAUGCACCGCACACGCAUGUACAGCCGAUACAUGCAUCCACACGCAUCCACACACAUCACACCCACGCACACGUCACACGCAGCCCACGCGUGCCGCAGGGCCGGGACACGCCGCCCACCCCCGGUUAGGGCUGGCGGGGGGGGGGACACCCGCAGCCGCCCCCUCCCCGUUUUAACCCCAUGGGGGGGGGGAUUUACCGGUUCCCGGGGGGGUCGCUACGGUCCCGGGGCGCCCCCCGUUCCCUCCCCGGGCCGGGGGCGGCGGCUCCCGGGGGUUCCCGGGGGUGGGUCCCGGGGGUCGAUCCCGGUGCCCGGUCUCAGGGGCGGAUCCCGGUCCCUGUUGAGGAUCCCGGUGCCGGUGGAGGGUCCCGGUCCCGGUGCCCGGUGCCCAGGGGCGGAUCCAGGUCCGGUCCCGGUGCCCGGUGGCAGAUCCCGGUGCCGGUGCCCAGUAGUGGAUGCCGGUCCCGGUGCCCGGUUGCGGAUCUCGGUCCCGGUUGCAGAGCCCGGUCCCGGUGCCCGGUGCCCGGUCCCGGUUCCCAGUCGCGGAUCCCGGUGCCGGUCCCGGUGCCUGCUCCCGGUGCCGGUCCCGGUGUCGGAUCCCGGUGCCCGGUCCCGGUCCCGGUCCCGGUCCCGGUCCCGGUGCCGGCUCCUCCCGUUCAGGACCGCGGACAGCGGCGCCGCCGCCUUUAUACCCGCGCCCGGCCCCACGUGACCUCCAUUGACGUCAGAGCCCAUUCAUAAAAUCCGGCCGGGGCUGGGAAGGGGGGGGCGCGCGGUGCGCAUGCGCAGCUCCCCCCUCCCCCCUCCCCCCCGGGAACGGCGGCGGCAUGAAUGGGCGCGGGAUGAAUGGGGCGGGGGGGGCGGGAGAGGGAGGGGGAGGAACGGAGGGACCUACACACGGCCCUAUACACACGGCCCUAUAUAAACAGCCCUGCGCACGGCCCUAUAUGUACCCGGCCCUAUAUAAACAGCCCUACAGACGGCCCUAUAUACACACGGCCCUAUAUAAAUAGCCCUACCCACGGCCCUAUAUACACACGGCCCUAUAUAUACACCCCCGCACACGGCCCUAUAUGUACACACCCCUAUACACGGCCCUACACACAGACCCUUAUAUACGGCCCUAUAUGCAUAUCCCUAUACACACACCCCCCUACACGCACCCCUGUACACACGGCCCCAUACGCACCCCUAUACACAUACACACGGCCCUAUAUGGACCCCUGUACACACAGCCCUAUAUACACACUGCCCCUAUACACACCUCUGCACGCACACUGCCCUAUACAAACACCCUAUAUACCCCCCCCCAUACACACACACACGCCCCUAUACACACCCAGUCCCCUAUACAAACACCAUAUACACCCACCCCUAUACGCCCCCACACCCCUAUACAUACACCUACGCUCCUAUAGAUGCGCAUACCCCUAUAGAC
rnacentral:lncRNA from 1 species